GUCUAUGGCCUUGCCACCCUGAACAAGCCUGAUCCCGUCUGAUCUCAGAAGCUAAGCAGAGUCGGCCCUGGUUAGUACUUGGAUGGAAGACCACCUAGGAAGACCAAGUGCUGUAGUCG
rnacentral:rRNA from 1 species